AUUUUUAUUACGGGUUGAUGGAAAACCCAAAACUAAAUUACCGUUUUGCGAUAUUUCUAACAUUUCCAACUCUUUGAUUCGGUUGGCAAAAAGUGUUCCAUGUGAGUUUGUGAGAAAGCCGCGUUCACUUUCAGAAUUAAAACGUUUUAAAGCGACAGAGUUUCGCCAGUUCUUAUAUUACACGGGACCUAUAGUUUUAAAAUCUAUUCUAUCUCCUGAUCGUUAUAUGAACUUUUUAAGCUUACAUGUUAGUGUGACUAUUUGGUCAAAUGAGAAGUACUUGCAAGAAUUUGGUAGUUAUGCACAUUCAUUAUUAAAAUAUUUUAUUGAAACAUUUAUAGUUGUAUAUGGAGAAGAAUAUGUCUCUCAUAACGUACAUAACUUACUGCAUGUUUAUGAGGAUUGUCAACGUUUUGGGAUUUUGCAAAAAUUUUCUGCUUUUCCAUUUGAAAAUUACCUACAAUCACUAAAAUCGUUACUUCGCAAAGGAAAUAAUCCAUUGUCACAAAUUGUUAAUCGAAUUCUGGAAAAUAAUAAUGUGCAAGAGCAACCUCCAGCCUCAGUGAAAAGUCCUUUACCACAACAUAAACAUUUUAAUGGUCCUAUGUUAGGAAACUUUUAUAUAAAUCAAUAUAAGUGUGUUCACUUUAAUGAUUUUGUAUUAAAACUUUCUCCAGGAGAUAAUUGCUGCGGUUUAAAAGACAAAAGUAUUAUUUCUAUUGAAAACUUUGUGACCAAUUCUAACGAUGAUUUAUUUAUAAUUAGUCGCAAGUUUAAUACUUGCAAAGACUUUUAUUUACAACCAUGUCCAUCUUCCACAUUAGGAAUUUAUGUUGUGGAUGACCUAGGUCCAUUAGGAUCUUGGAUGUAGAAGAAAUUUCCUGCAAGUUUUUUAAAAUGAACUAUAACGACAAGUUCGUAGUAGUUCCUUUACUUCACUCAAUCAAUUAGCUAAUGAAGUUUUAUGCAUAAUGAUUAAUAAAAAAGGAAGCUAUAUGCUAUAAUUGAGUUAUACCAAUGAUUAUAUGUAAUGCUUGAUUUUCUAGCUAUAUUUGCUGAUUUAUUUAAAAGUGUUUUUGAGAGUAUGUGUUAAAAUUAUAAACUUAUAGUAUGUAGUAACCUUUUGUUAGACACUGUCACCUUUCAUAAAGGAAGGUGUUUUACUUAAAUUACUUGCAGUUUUAAUAUUAAAAAUUUUUUUUCAUAAUCACUCCAAAAUGGUUGACAACUAGAAUUGCAACUCGCUCCUGUAAUGGAUGCAAAACUGACCUGGUCAGUUAUAAAAUUCCCCGAGGAAGACUCAGUGUGUGCCGUUCCAACCACUUGGGUGCACGUGAAAAUUCCCCAAUAAGUAGUUGUAUAGUACAAUCAAAAUAUACUGUGAUUGCAAAUGAGAUGGAUGAUGAAUCAAUGUCCAACUGUAAUGAUGAUAAUAACGAAAAUCAAGAUGAGAAUAAUAUUAACCUUGAAUCUGUGGUGCUGCAAGAUGCUGAAAGAACAGCACCUGCAAUACGUGGUACACAGACAAUGAGACUUAGCUAUACCAAAAUUGCAUCAACUAAUUCUCAUUCGCAGUCAGACACUAGUUCAGACAGACACAAUUCUUAAAUAUUAACAACAAAUUGUUCGUAAACAAAAUAUUCUACAGUCCAUGAUGAUGGACAUCAGCAACCAAACUAACGAAAAAAAUACUCAAGUAGCAGCAGAAGAUAUUCAAGGGGUUGAUUCUCUCUUUACUAACAUUGCUAACUUGCCAGUCAACACAAUGCCACAAUUAGAAGAAUUAGAAAAUUAUCUUUCUACUUCAGAAAAACUGGAUAAAGCGGCAAAAGAAAUUUCGCAAAUUGGUGGAGCAAACUUAUACGAAUUUAUUUCUCGGUCCUGUCAAAAACUAAUCACAAAUCAGUUGUGGUGAGACAUUCAGUUUUUUAGGCAGAAGAC